rnacentral:rRNA from 1 species
GCCUCCCUCGCCGCCAUCAGACUCCUACGGGGGCAGGCAGUGGGGAAUAUUGGACAAUGGGCGCAAGCCUGAUCCAGCCAUGCCGCGUGAGUGAUGACGGCCUUAGGGUUGUAAAGCUCUUUCGCUAGGGACGAUAAUGACGGUACCUAGACAAGAAGCCCGGCUAACUUCGUGCCAGCCGCCGCGGUAAUUC